UGGACAGAUUAUUGUAUUCGACGGUAUUCGACCGUAUUCACGGUGUGAAAAAGGGGAUUACACUAUUUUUAAACGGAAAGUGAAUCAAUUAACAUAAUAGACCCCU
rfam:Nicotiana attenuata strain TT chromosome 6, whole genome shotgun sequence.